GCAAGUCGAACGAAGCACUUAAGCCUGAUUCUUCGGAUGAAGGUUUUUGCGACUGAGUGGCGGACGGGUGAGUAACGCGUGGGUAACCUGCCUCAUACAGGGGGAUAACAGUUAGAAAUGACUGCUAAUACCGCAUAAGACCACGGAGCCGCAUGGCUCAGUGGGAAAAACUCCGGUGGUAUGAGAUGGACCCGCGUCUGAUUAGGUAGUUGGUGGGGUAACGGCCUACCAAGCCAACGAUCAGUAGCCGACCUGAGAGGGUGACCGGCCACAUUGGGACUGAGACACGGCCCAAACUCCUACGGGAGGCAGCAGUGGGGAAUAUUGCACAAUGGGGGAAACCCUGAUGCAGCGACGCCGCGUGAGCGAAGAAGUAUUUCGGUAUGUAAAGCUCUAUCAGCAGGGAAGAAAAUGACGGUACCUGACUAAGAAGCACCGGCUAAAUACGUGCCAGCAGCCGCGGUAAUACGUAUGGUGCAAGCGUUAUCCGGAUUUACUGGGUGUAAAGGGAGCGUAGACGGCUGUGUAAGUCUGAAGUGAAAGCCCGGGGCUCAACCCCGGGACUGCUUUGGAAACUAUGCAGCUAGAGUGUCGGAGAGGUAAGUGGAAUUCCCAGUGUAGCGGUGAAAUGCGUAGAUAUUGGGAGGAACACCAGUGGCGAAGGCGGCUUACUGGACGAUGACUGACGUUGAGGCUCGAAAGCGUGGGGAGCAAACAGGAUUAGAUACCCUGGUAGUCCACGCCGUAAACGAUGACUACUAGGUGUCGGGGAGCAAAGCUCUUCGGUGCCGCAGCAAACGCAAUAAGUAGUCCACCUGGGGAGUACGUUCGCAAGAAUGAAACUCAAAGGAAUUGACGGGGACCCGCACAAGCGGUG
rnacentral:rRNA from 1 species